rnacentral:lncRNA from 1 species
CUUCUGCUCUGGGUGUGCUACAUUGCCCUAGAGCUGAAAGGCACAAAGUGCUUCUUCUUUGCAAAGGGCGAUUGGGCCCCAGAGCAUCUUGCUUCCAGCUCUUGGGAAGCUAAGAAACAACUCGCUCUGCACAGUGCUCUUACAGCCUACCGGGAACAUCUCUUACAAAGGCCUAUGAAAUGCAGUUUCUUUGCAGGCCUGAUCUGGCUGAAGUAGAACUUCUGCUCUGGGUGUGCUACAUUGCCCUAGAGCUGCAAGGCAGAAAGUGCAGUCUUUUUUCCAAAGGGCGAGUUGGCCCAAAGCAUCUUGCUUCCAGCUCUUUGGGAAGCUUAAAAACAACUCGCUCUGCACAGUGCUCUUACAGCCUACCGGGAACUUCUCUUACAAAGGCCUGUGAAACGCAGUUUCUUUGCAGGCCUGAUCUGGCUGAAGUAGAACUUCUGCUCUGGGUGUGCUACUCUACAAAGGCCUGUGAAACGCAGUUUUUUUGCAGGCCUGAUCUGGCUGAAGUAGAACUUCUGCUCUGGGUGUGCUACAUUGCCCUAGAGCUGCAAGGCACAAAGUGCUGUCUUCUUUCCAAAGGGCGAGUUGGGCCCCAAAGCAUCUUGCUUCUAGCUCUUUGGGAAGCUAAGAAACAACUCGCUCUGCACAGUGCUCUUACAGCCUACCGGGAACAUCUCUUACAAAGGCCUGUGAAAUGCAGUUUCUUUGCAGGCCUCAUGUGGCUGAAGUAGAACUUCUGCUCUGGGUGUGCUACAUUGCCUUAGAGCUGCAAGGCACAAAGUGCUUCUUCUUUCCAAAGGGCGAGUUGGGCCCCAAAGCAUCUUGCUUCCAGCUCUUUGGGAAGCGUAAUAACAUCUCGCUCUGCACAGUGCUCUUACAGCCUACCGGGACAUCUCUGACAAAGGCCUGUGAAACGCAAUUUCUUUGCAGGCCUGAUCUGGCUGAAGUAGAACUUCUGCUCUGGGUGUGCUACAUUGCCCUAGAGCUGCAAGUCACAAAGUGCUGUCUUCUUUGCAAACGGCGAGGUGGUCCCCAGAGCAUCUUUCUUCCAGCUCUUUGGGAAGCUAAGAAUCAAGUCACUCUGCACAACGCUCUUACAGCCUACCGGGAACAUCUCUUACAAAGGCCUGUGAAACGCAGUUUCUUUGCAGGCCUGAUCUGGCUGAAGUAGAACUUCUGCUCUGGUUGUGCCACAUUUGCCUAGAGCUGCAAGGCAGAAAGUGCAGUCUUUUUUCCAAAGGGCGAGCUGGACCCCAAAGCAUCUUGCUUCCAUCUCUUUGGGAAGCUUAAUAACAACUCGCUCUGCAGAGUGCUCUUACAGCCUACUGGGACAUCUCUUACAAAGGCCUGUGAAACGCAGUUUCUUUGCAGGCCUGAUCUGGCUGAAGUAGAACUUCUGCUCUGGGUGUUCUACAUUGCCCUAGAGCUGAAAGGCACAACGUGCAGUCUUCUUUCCAAAGGGCGAGUUGAA